rnacentral:lncRNA from 1 species
UGCUUCCGCUUAUGACAUCUGUUCAUACAUAGUGAAACAUAGUCAUGAUAAGGAAGUUCUGUUGAUUUCAUGCUUGCUUGCAACAAGUCCUUCUCCCUGUGGUUUAUGCUCAUGUACUCAUUUCCUGAUUCCAAAAAAGUGGUGGUUUCAUCGUUAAAGACGGCUUUUGUGCUUGCUUGCAAAGAUAUUCCAAACAGCAGGGGAUUAUGUGUGAUCUAAUCUGCUCUGCAAUGAAUCCAUUGGAAGGGGGGAAACAACAGAAAGUUGGAAAGGCAGAUGUGAAUUGACUGUGUAAUCCUGUGGUGCCUGCCAACAACAUGACUGGAACUACAAAGAAAGGCAGUGUUCAACUGAGAAUUGCCAAGAUACCUCCAUUAAGAAGUGCCAUGCCUACUUGGAAAUCAUGGAUUCUCACUUGGAAGUUGUCCCAGUGGACAGCUUUUGGUUCAUUUAGGAAUCAAGCUGUACAGUGAGAGAAAUGUGAAUCCACUUGCAUUCACUUGCUGGGAAGUCACACUAGGGAAUUCAGGUCACUUUGCAUGAAUUGGCCACACAGGGAGACAGGAGGAAAGCCUUGUUUACAGCUUGUUUGUGGCUCUCUUGUAGCCCUGCAGGAGGCAUAGUUACAAGGAAACUACUUAAUAAGGUGUAAACAAGAAUUUUCUCCUCCUACAUCUUUUUUGGGGGGAUGUAGGUGUCCUAAUGCAACAUUAUGGAUACUAAGCCUUUUUUAAAAAGUAGGUGCAUGGAUCUCAAAGUUUUUCUGAGAUAAACAAUGCAGAUGUGCAGAGGCUUCUCAUAAGCUGUAAUAUAGCUUUCCUGGUGAAUGGACUUGUUAAAAAACACCCAGCAACUCUGUAAGCUGAAUGCCAGUAGUGCAUGGAGGCUGAAUGUCUUACAUAUGAUUGUCUGACUGCUGGAUGGAAAGUAUUGAUGUGUGCUCUGUUAUUGUAUAAUGAGCUAUGAGCUCAGGUACAAUACAUGUGUGGAAACAGGUCAAUUUCUUUGAGACAAGGUGGCUGACUUGGAGAACCUGAGGGGCAGAGGGGCUGGCGCAUGGCACUUGCAGGAAUCUCUUAUUCUAUCCUUGGGUCUGUUGACUGCUUUCUCCUUCAGCUCCUCAAUUUGAUGCCAGUGCCAUCCCUGCUGGGUCAACAGAUGGCCCCAUCCUCCAUAAUUGUAUCCAUA